AGCGAACGCUGGCGGCAGGCCUAAUACAUGCAAGUCGAGCGCACCUUCGGGUGAGCGGCGGACGGGUGAGUAACGCGUGGGAACGUGCCCUUUGGUACGGGAUAACUGAGGGAAACUUCAGCUAAUACCGUAUGUGCCCUACGGGGGAAAGAUUUAUCGCCAUUGGAGCGGCCCGCGUUGGAUUAGGUAGUUGGUGAGGUAAAGGCUCACCAAGCCUACGAUCCAUAGCUGGUCUGAGAGGAUGAUCAGCCACACUGGGACUGAGACACGGCCCAGACUCCUACGGGAGGCAGCAGUAGGGAAUCUUGCGCAAUGGGCGAAAGCCCGACGCAGCCAUGCCGCGUGAAUGAUGAAGGUCUUAGGAUUGUAAAAUUCUUUCACCGGGGAAGAUAAUGACGGUACCCGGAGAAGAAGCCCCGGCUAACUUCGUGCCAGCAGCCGCGGUAAUACGAAGGGGGCUAGCGUUGCUCGGAAUUACUGGGCGUAAAGGGCGCGUAGGCGGACAGUUUAGUCAGAGGUGAAAGCCCAGGGCUCAACCUUGGAAUUGCCUUUGAUACUGGCUGUCUUGAGUUCGGGAGAGGUGAGUGGAAUGCCGAGUGUAGAGGUGAAAUUCGUAGAUAUUCGGCGGAACACCAGUGGCGAAGGCGACUCACUGGCCCGAUACUGACGCUGAGGCGCGAAAGCGUGGGGAGCAAAC
rnacentral:rRNA from 1 species